rfam:Astyanax mexicanus Tnplaced_Scaffold2564, whole genome shotgun sequence.
CUGGUAUUUCAAAAGGAAAAAAAAAUCUGUUCUUUUCAGUUUAAUGUCUGAUAAGCCCUCUAUAUGAGGGCUACAUAUUAAAAUGGAUUUUUAGAACAGGGAGCCAGAAGAGGAGCUUGCUUCUUCUGCUCCACGCAUCGACCUGGUAUUGCAGUACCUCCAGGACCGGUGCACCUUCC